rnacentral:pre_miRNA from 1 species
UGAGAACUGAAUUCCAUGGGUUGUCUUUGUAUCAGACCUAUGAAACUCAGUUCUUCA